GGCAGUGCUGACUUCACUCAUCUUGUUCUUUGUGUGGUUUAUUCCGUCCAUUUUGCUUGCAGAAUUUGGUCAGUAUUUCAUUACAGAUCCAGCUGGUUGUCUUUAUCAGGUAUCGACGAUCAGUGUUUUAGUGAAUUGUUUUUAAUAGCUGCUCGUUUUUAGCUGCUGGUUUAUGUAAAGUUUGAGCCACCUGACGCCAAGUUCCGCCGGGGUUUUCCGGUCUUACCCUCAAUUCUCUACGUCAAGGCUCUUCUGUCCAGUAACCCCGGGCGUUGGUUUUUCUUGUCUUUCCAGUAAAUCUCAGACAUGCAGCGAGGGAUACCCUACUGUUCUACACUGAACACCGGUGCUGGCAUAUAAGGUUAUGCCCUGUCCGCGCUAAACUGCCCGCACCUGCCAACGACUCGGGGUUCCGAACAGUGGAGACCAUCUCAGUGCACGGAGAAGGUUUCACUCUACAUGACGACAAACACAACAGUUACUCAAGAAUACAAUCAAAAAGUGGAACAAAAUACCAGGCAGACUUCGGCAUGUCCACCCUGAGAUGCAGACUACAGCAGGAAUUUACUGGCUAGCACGAAACCCAGUCGUGGAAGGAUUGGGGUGUGCAUUCAUGUUUUUCACGCAAGAAAGUUGAAAAACAAGCACUGCAGCUGAAUGCAACAGCAUCGUGAAAGCAAAGAAAAAAAUAAUAAAAAAGCAAGACUGACACAAACAUGCAUACAUUGUGUGUUACAUAGAAAACACACAAGUGAAUAAAAUUCCUUACACAAAACAUCACUAUUACAUGUAUCACACAGGUAAGUUAUAAAAAA